AGACUUAUCCUGCAUAAAAUCUUACUUCCACCUCCCUGUGGUAAGCAAGGGGCAACAGGAAAAGCAAAACUAUAAAAAGCAGUGUAGGGCCGCGGAAAUGCAGCAUUUAUUUUCCUGUGAAUUAUGUGAAUCAGACAAACAGAACCAUAAGCAUUCAGGCAUGUCAUCACAGCUUCAAAUACCACCACUGGUAAUACCAGUACCUAUAUCCUCAGAAGAUACAUCAUGCAAGCAGAUUUGUCAAUGGUACAUAUUAAGGAAAUUCAAGUUUUAACAGAAAUGUACAGACUAACCAUUUUCCAAUGGGAGAGCAUUUAGGGAUAAUGAAAACAGUGACGUGGGUGUAGUAAAACAUUGAAUUAUCUCAAAAGUAGAGA